GACGAACGCUGGCGGCGUGCCUAAUACAUGCAAGUCGAGCGAAUCGAUGGGAGCUUGCUCCCUGAGAUUAGCGGCGGACGGGUGAGUAACACGUGGGUAACCUGCCUGUAAGACUGGGAUAACUUCGGGAAACCGGAGCUAAUACCGGAUACUUUCUUUUCUCGCAUGAGGGAAGAUGGAAAGAUGGUUUCGGCUAUCACUUACAGAUGGACCCGCGGCGCAUUAGCUAGUUGGUGAGGUAACGGCUCACCAAGGCAACGAUGCGUAGCCGACCUGAGAGGGUGAUCGGCCACACUGGGACUGAGACACGGCCCAGACUCCUACGGGAGGCAGCAGUAGGGAAUCUUCCGCAAUGGACGAAAGUCUGACGGAGCAACGCCGCGUGAGCGAAGAAGGCCUUCGGGUCGUAAAGCUCUGUUGUUAGGGAAGAACAAGUACGAGAGUAACUGCUCGUACCUUGACGGUACCUAACCAGAAAGCCACGGCUAACUACGUGCCAGCCGCCGCAGUAAUAC
rnacentral:rRNA from 1 species